rnacentral:rRNA from 1 species
UACGAAGGGGGGCGAGCGUUGUUCGGAUUUACUGGGCGUAAAGGGCGCGCAGGCGGCCAUUCAAGUCAGGCGUGAAAGCCCCGGGCUUAACCUGGGAGGUGCGUCUGGGGACUGGGUGACUGGAGAUCGGGAGAGGAGAGUGGAAUUCCCAGUGUAGAGGUGAAAUUCGUAGAUAUUGGGGAAGAACACCGGUGGCGAAGGCGGCUCUCUGGACCGAUACUGACGCUGAGGCGCGAAAGCGUGGGGGAGCAAACAGG